rnacentral:rRNA from 1 species
AUUGAACGCUGGCGGCAGGCCUAACACAUGCAAGUCGAACGGUAACAGGAAACAGCUUGCUGUUUCGCUGACGAGUGGCGGACGGGUGAGCAAUGUCUGGGAAACUGCCUGAUGGAGGGGGAUAACUACUGGAAACGGUAGCUAAUACCGCAUAACGUCGCAAGACCAAAGAGGGGGACCUUCGGGCCUCUUGCCAUCGGAUGUGCCCAGAUGGGAGUAGCUAGUAGGUGGGGUAACGGCUCACCAAGGCGACGAUCCCUAGCUGGUCUGAGAGGAUGACCAGCAACAUUGGAACGUAGACACAGUCAAGACUCCUACGGAAGGGAGCAGGGGGUAAUAUUGGAGAAUGUGCGGGAGUCUGAUCCAGGCAUGGCGGGUGUGGGAAGAAGAGCUGCGGAUUGUAGAGCACUUUAAGUGGGGAAGAAGGGAAGUAAGCGGAGACCUCGGCGCAGGGACGGUAACCACAGAAGAGACAACGGCUAACUUCGUG